UCCACCGCACCUCUUCGUUCUCUUUUUAGCCCCACGAUCUCCACUCUCCAGGCUUCAGCCGCUGUCAGGAGCGAGAGGGAAGCGAUGGAGGGAGAGGAGGAAGCGAAGAAGACGAAGGAGGAGGUGGAGGCGGAGAUAUCGCGGGCGAUGCGCGCUCGCGUGAGGGAUUUCAAGGAGCAGGCCGACUCCUUGACUCUUGAAGGUGUUAGACGAGCACUGGAGAAGGAUUUAAGGAUGAAGACAUUAUCACUGGAUGUCCAUAAGAGGUUUAUAAAACAAUGUUUGGAAGAGCACUUUUAUGGUGCUGAUGAUGAGGAUGCAUCCAAAAGCUCGGGGAAAGUCAGAACAGAACUUGCUCAAACAGUGAAAGAAGAGAAGUCAGGUCAACCUGAAGAUCUUCAGUCAACAAUAGAACAAAAAAAUAACAGUUCCAGCCCUGCUGAAGAAACAGAAGGAUCUGCUUUGUUUGGAAAGAAAUCAACUGAUCGUGAGACUGAAAAUAGCCAACGUGACAGUGAUUUAAAUGAAGACACAAUCAAGGAGGCAAUAAAAAAGAAGGCUUCCUAUUUUAGAGCUAAUUCUGAGCAUAUUACUUUACAACAAGUUCGUCGAUUGCUGGAGGAAGAUCUUAAACUUGCAAAGAAAACUUUGGAUGCUUACAAAAGUUUUAUCAGCAAAGAACUAGAUAUGGUCCUGCAAUCACCUGAAAUUCUUAAACCUGCAAAUGGGGUUAAGAAGAAACCUAAGAAAGCUUCUCCAAAUGUGGAUGAGAGAAAGCUGAGCAAAGUCUCUAAAAAAGCCCACAGGAAAUCAGAUUCGUCAGAUGGCAACAAUAUCCUCAGCGAGGAUUAUGAAGUUGAUGAAGAAAUAAGACCAAAAAAGAGGACAGUUGAAAAAAUUAAAGCUACCUCAAAAAAUCCGAAAAGGCAGAAAAAAUCUACGGAAGAUAAUAAAUCACCCAGUUCUAAGGAGAGAAAGCCUGUGGAAGCAGACUUAGACAAGAGUUCUGAAGAUGAGGGUGCAAACAGCUCUGAGGAUGGCGAUUCUCAUUCAUCUGCUGAAGAGGAAGUCAAGAAGAAACAAGAGAAGCCAGCUCAAGUGUAUGGAAAACGAGUAGAGCACCUCAAAUCAAUAAUCAAAUCCUGCGGGAUGAGCAUUCCUCCAACAGUUUAUAGGAGGGCCAAACAGGCUCCUGAAAGCAAACGUGAAGCCUUCUUAAUAAAAGAGCUGGAGGAGAUUCUUUCAAAGGAAGGGCUAUCAACUAAUCCUUCCGAAAAAGACAUUAAAGCAGUUAGAAAAGAAAAGAAAGAGCAAAAGAGCUUGAAGGCAUCGACUUGAGCAACAUAAUGUCAAGUUCUCGUCGAAGAAGUACAUCCAGUUACAUACCUCGACCAAGCCUAAAAUAGAAGUCGAAAGUGAUGAAGAUGAAGAAAAUGAGGAAGGUGAGGAAGAUGAGGAUGAUGAGGAAAAUGAGGAAGAUUCAGAUGAUGGUGAUAAUGUUGGAGGCGAUUCAGGCGAAGGAUCUGAUGAAGAUGCUGAAGAUGAAAGUGAUUGAAGUGCUGCAACCUUGUCAUAUUCUUCACAUGCUAUUGCUCUAGUGAAGGACUGUAUUGGAAACCAUAGAUCCCAUCUGUUUCAUCCUUUAGCUAUGUAAAUGUAUAUUUCUAGGGGGAAUUGUGGUGUUGAUUUAUUAGAGCUGAUAUUUUAUCUAUGAUCAAUGAGUUGAUUAGGUAAGCGACAAUUCUUCAACUGAACUCGUGUCUGGUCAGCGUAGUCUACAUUACAAUUUUGUGUGGUUUAAGAGAUUUUGGCUUUAAGGUUAUUAGGAUUCGUCAACAGAAAA